UUCUAAAACUAGACAUAAGCCUAACUAUGUCUUAAUAUCACCCAAUCUCUUUUUCAUCAUGCAAAUUUGCCAAAUGUUUUUCUUUUAGCCUUCCUCUGUGUGACCGCUGCCCUAGGAGUGGUAUAAGAAACAUCCCUUCAUGGCUGAGCCCGACCACAUUCCAUGAUCUUAAGGGGGAAAACGGCAGAAAAACACAUGUAGAGUAAUCCUACCCAAUGAAGAAAAACGAAAGGGGAAAGAAAAUACACCUUAAGGAAAAACGAAGAUUCUCACUGAUAUUAAUCCCUAUGCCUGCUUCCAUAAAUUCCUGAGGUGAGACAGCACACUUGGUCACCAGGGCUGCGCUGGAAGGUUAACAUCACUGGGCUGCUUCACUCCAAGUCAUGUCUAUUGGGAAACGACACCAUGAUAAAAAGGACAAACAGGAACCCCACUCCUGACCACAAUAAAAAAAAAUCUUGAUUUCAAACAUCACA